rnacentral:rRNA from 1 species
UCCUACGGGAGGCAGCAGUGAGGAAUAUUGGUCAAUGGUCGGGAGACUGAACCAGCCAAGCCGCGUGAGGGAUGAAGGUACAGAGUAUCGUAAACCUCUUUUGUCAGGGAACAAAGGCGGGGACGUGUCCCCGGAUGAGUGUACCUGAAGAAAAAGCAUCGGCUAACUCCGUGCCAGCAGCCGCGGUAAUACGGAGGAUGCGAGCGUUAUCCGGAUUUAUCGGGUUUAAAGGGUGCGCAGGCGGUCUGUUAAGUCAGCGGUCAAAGCCCGGGGCUCAACCCCGGCCCGCCGUUGAAACUGGCAGU